rnacentral:piRNA from 1 species
UUGAAUGUGUCAACCAAAUUUCGUGUA